GCAUUCAAGACUUGACAGUACAUAUACUAAAAUUGGAACAAUACAGAUGAGAUUAGCAUGGCCCCUGCACCCCUGGAUUUUUUUAAAACAGAUUUAAAAAUAAAGUGUUU